GUGCCUGGCAGCCUGGGGAGGAGGGGCCUUCUGAGCCCCGGAAGCAGCGCUGUACAGAAAAUCGCAAGCGGGAGGGGUGUGAGCUGCGGGUCUGAGUGAGAUGGGAAACCAGACAGCUUUUGAGCAGAGGACGUUGUUGUCUGACUGGCAUUCGCAGAGUCGCCUCACUGCAGCUUUGAGGGGAACAAGGUGGGUGCUGACAGGCUCAUCAGAAGGCCCUGCGUCACCCAGGCCACAGACGCCCCGGGUGUAGACCAAGGAGUAGUGCUGAGGAGUGGUCCGGGUCAGGAUGCGCUCUGAGGGUGGGGCCAGGAGAACUCCCUGAGGGAUGCAAUGUGGGGUGUGAGAGGAGUGGAGAUGCAGAUGACCUGGGGUUUCGGCCUGAGCACAAGACAGAUGGAGUGGCCAUCAGCCGAGAUUGGGAAGGCCCCAGCUGGAGUCUGGGCAUGGAUUCUUCUCCCUAACGUCUGCGGCCUGAGGAGACGGUACGUUCCCCAGAACACAGCAGGGCUCAGGACACACCUUCCCAGGAGGCUGAGCCAGGGGAAAGCCCCACAAUGGAAGAUUCUGGGCACCAGGACUACGGAAGCCCUAAUAGCCACAGAGCUGCAAUGGACGAGAGUGAGAAGUGGUCUUCCCAGUGUGCUGGGAAAGCUUCCGCUUCACCUCCGACAGCGCCAGAGGAGAGCCGCGCGCCUGUUCCCAGAGGACGUCCAGUGAAUUCUCACUGAGCUGGUGAAGGAAGGAAUGAAUGGUGGAGAAAUGCUCUAUUGGGACUGAGGAGGAAUGUACUCAACUCAUGACUGCUUUGCAGCCUUGGGACCCACUGGAGACAAGAACCAGCUCCUGGCACCUCCGUCUCCUGCCUGCACUCACUGCAUGCAGCAGGCGCUCUCCUGUGCACUGACUGACAGGGUGCCACACUCUGCCAGGUACUCUACGGGGUUGUUAUUUCAUUUGACCAUCCCAGGGAUCCUGUCUUGAGCUGUGAUUACAUUUUUCUGUGAAUAAGAAAAACACUUUAUAGGAAGAAAACCAUACAGUCUUUGUUCAGCUUGAGGCAAAGCCGAAUUUUAUAAACUGCUUGUAGCAAAUUUAUAAACUGUUCUUUGUCUGGGGAUGUGGAAAUAAAGAAUUCAACUUGAG